GAAAGUUUCGGCGGUUACAGAUGGGCAUGCGUUGUAUUAGCUGGUUGGUAAGGUAACGGCUUACCAAGGCGACGAUACAUAGGGGGACUGAGAGGUUAACCCCCCACAUUGGUACUGAGACACGGACCAAACUCCUACGGGAGGCAGCAGUGAGGAAUAUUGGUCAAUGGACGGAAGUCUGAACCAGCCAUGCCGCGUGCAGGAAGACGGCUCUAUGAGUUGUAAACUGCUUUUGUACAAGGGUAAACCUGAAUACGUGUAUUCAGCUGAAAGUAUUGUACGAAUAAGGAUCGGCUAACUCCGUGCCAGCAGCCGCGGUAAUACGGAGGAUCCAAGCGUUAUCCGGAUUUAUUGGGUUUAAAGGGUGCGUAGGCGGAUUGAUAAGUUAGAGGUGAAAUGUCCGAGCUCAACUCGGGAACUGCCUCUAAUACUGUUGAUCUAGAGAGUAGAUGCGGUAGGCGGAAUGUAUGGUGUAGCGGUGAAAUGCUUAGAGAUCAUACAGAACACCGAUUGCGAAGGCAGCUUACCAAUCUAUAUCUGACGUUGAGGCACGAAAGCGUGGGGAGCAAACAGGAUUAGAUACCCUGGUAGUCCACGCAGUAAA
rnacentral:rRNA from 1 species